AGAGUUUGAUCAUGGCUCAGGACGAACGCUGGCGGCGUGCCUAACACAUGCAAGUCGAACGGUAGCACAGAGGAGCUUGCUCCUUGGGUGACGAGUGGCGGACGGGUGAGUAAUGUCUGGGAAACUGCCCGAUGGAGGGGGAUAACUACUGGAAACGGUAGCUAAUACCGCAUAACGUCGCAAGACCAAAGAGGGGGACCUUCGGGCCUCUUGCCAUCGGAUGUGCCCAGAUGGGAUUAGCUAGUAGGUGGGGUAACGGCUCACCUAGGCGACGAUCCCUAGCUGGUCUGAGAGGAUGACCAGCCACACUGGAACUGAGACACGGUCCAGACUCCUACGGGAGGCAGCAGUGGGGAAUCUUCGGCAAUGGACGAAAGUCUGACCGAGCAACGCCGCGUGAGUGAAGAAGGCCUUCGGGUUGUAAAGUACUUUCAGCGAGGAGGAAGGCAUUAAGGUUAAUAACCUUGGUGAUUGACGUUACUCGCAGAAGAAGCACCGGCUAACUCCGUGCCAGCAGCCGCGGUAAUUC
rnacentral:rRNA from 1 species